rnacentral:rRNA from 1 species
UACGUAGGGUGCAAGCGUUGUCCGGAAUUAUUGGGCGUAAAGAGCUCGUAGGCGGUUUGUCGCGUCUGCUGUGAAAACUGGGGGCUCAACCCCCAGCCUGCAGUGGGUACGGGCAAACUAGAGUGCGGUAGGGGAGAUUGGAAUUCCUGGUGUAGCGGUGGAACGCGCAGAUAUCAGGAGGAACACCGAUGGCGAAGGCAGAUCUCUGGGCCGUAACUGACGCUGAGGAGCGAAAGCGUGGGGAGCGAACAGG